rnacentral:rRNA from 1 species
GAUGAACGCUGGCGGCGUGCCUAAUACAUGCAAGUCGAGCGAACGGACGAGAAGCUUGCUUCUCUGAUGUUGGCGGCGGACGGGUGAGUAACACGUGGAUAACCUACCUAUAAGACUGGGAUAACUUCGGGAAACCGGAGCUAAUACCGGAUAAUAUUUUGAACCGCAUGGUUCAAAAGUGAAAGACGGUCUUGCUGUCACUUAUAGAUGGAUCCGCGCUGCAUUAGCUAGUUGGUAAGGUAACGGCUUACCAAGGCAACGAUGCAUAGCCGACCUGAGAGGGUGAUCGGCCACACUGGAACUGAGACACGGUCCAGACUCCUACGGGAGGCAGCAGUAGGGAAUCUUCCGCAAUGGGCGAAAGCCUGACGGAGCAAAGCCGCGUGAGUGAUGAAGGUCUUCGGAUCGUAAAACUCUGUUAUUAGGGAAGAACAUAUGUGUAAGUAACUGUGCACAUCUUGACGGUACCUAAUCAGAAAGCCACGGCUAACUACGUG